CUCCUUAUCCCACCGGACAUUUCCUUCAUUUUGAGGAGAGAGAAAGUUGUUUAAAUCAAAUACAAAGAUUUUCCCCAAAAUCAAGCCUUUUUCGGAUCACUAUUGUAGGGGAUUCUUCAUUUCCGAUCACUAUCGCAACAAGGUUCUUUUUUCUAUCUGAUUUUAAUUUCUGAUGGGUAUUUGAAGAAGAUAGGGUUCUUUUCUGCUGGGUUUGUGAUUAUGAAUUGAUCUUUUUUUUUCCUUACGUGUUCUUAUUUUUCCUGUUUUAUUUUGUUUUAGUUUGAAUUUUUUGUUGUUGGGAAUUUCCACUCAAGGGUUUUAUCCGUCUCUCUUUCUCUUCGGUAUGGGUUUGAUUAGCGUGUGAUGGAGUACUAGGCGUGGUGUGAAUAUGCAUCUGGUGCCUCAGUAUGGGUUUUGGUGCUUUAUAUGAAAUCAUGUCCUUAUUGUCAAAAGAAUAAAAUAUUUUGAACCUUCUGUAUAGCAGAAAUAGUCCUCUUGUGUAUGCUGCUUCUUUUUAUCGCUUAACAAUAUUGUAGAUUGUUAAUAGAAGUUGUCAGAUAACUUAUCAACAAUAAAGUAGAAGUCAUCAAAUAUUAGCAUGUUUUUGGUACUGUGAAAUACUGAAAUUGCUUUAAUUAUGCAUCAGGAGCCAUGUUACUUUUUAUUAAAUCCCUGAGUAAAAAAGUGAGUACUAGGUGUGGUUGCAGUGGCACUGUUUGUUGACUCCAUGCUAAAGGCUGACCAAUAAUUUACUUAAAUGAGAUAUAUAAUGUCGUCAGCUCGUAGGAAAUUUCUCUGUUUCUAUGCUCCAAUGGUACGUAAACUGAAUUCAUUUGAAUACUCUUGGGUUUAUUUACGCUUUAAGUUUAAUCUAUGACCAUUUACACGCAAAGAGAGGGAGGAGGAGGGGGGGAGGGAGGGGGGAGAGUGUUAGUGGAUAUUCUGGCAUAGUUUUUAAACUUCUUCUUUCUCCUACCUUUUGUACAGUUCUCUCAUCUCUUUACUGGUAGAAUUCCGCCUUCGGUAUGGGUUUUAUGUGUACAUGCCUUUGUUUUUAGUUGCAAAUGGGAGAGGAAGUUGAAAUUAUUUGUUUCAGUCUUCUACUUAUAUCAUAAAAAACAUUCUCAUACCUUUGAAUAAGUAGCAUACACGAGAUUUUAACAUUUGAUAAGUAUGGGAUAGAGUGAAGAAAGCUUGAACUAAGCCCCAUGUGUUUGGCAUAUUCUCAUAUGUAUUUAUUUCUUGCUCGAUAUGGAAAAAAAAACACUGGUUAAACUGUCCUCUUGAAUUGAUAGUGUUGCAAUUGGUAACUGAAAUUGUAAGCCAAAGAGUGAAUAUUUAAGAAGUUUGUAGUCUGCCAUCAAUUAAUGUCAUCAUUUUAUUGUUACUUAGACUUUUUAGAUGUGUUCAGCCUUAGUGUUUUGAGAAAUUAUUUCUUGUGAGUUCUAUGAAUUGUGUACUUUUUUUGGGUUCUUUCUAUGCUUUCGGGGUUCUCUAAUAGUUGUAAUCAUACUUUUGCUCUUUUUGUGAGAAUCAUAGUGGUCUAUCUUUGCUCACCAUGUGCAUUUUGUAUUUUUUGUUAGGUAAUUCUCUCUCCCUCAUGUUUGUUUUUUAAUCCUUACAUGAUUUAGAUACAUUGAAAGCUACCUCAAAUUAGAAUGGGAAGAAGGACGAGUCAAAGGAUACUGGCCAGGUCAGUAGAAAUCAACUGGUUUAAUCGUUUUGCACUACCUAAGAAUUAAAGGAUACUGAAAGUGAAUCUAUUUCUGGGGUUUUCUCAUCUUCAACCUCACUGAAAAUCACCUCAUUUACAUUGUGCUCAGUUUUACUCAAAUCUUGUGUUUGAGGCUCAAGGAGAAGGCUCUCCUCCGUUGGAGAUAUUGGUAUCGAGGUAAAAAAUAACAUAAUAGGAAUUAGGAUAGGAAGCAAUAUGAUAAAGAGUUGCUAGAAUAAGGCAAACACUAUAGACAAAUAAAAAGUUAGAAUUAUCAGAUGAUCUAACUUGGCACAAUUGCAACCAUCUUUGUCAAUCUGAUCAAGAAUAAUGACGCUCCCUAUACAGUAGACACUUAUACAGUUACUAUGCCUACCUUAUCAACCUUCCUUCCAACAACAGUAUGUCCUUACAAUCCGAAACACAAAACACAAAAGACAAGUCAAGUUAUUGUUCAUGGGUUACUUUAACCAAUAUCAGAGUUCAGAACAACCACUUUAGUCAAAACAGUAAGCAAAAACUGAAGAAUAUAAUCAAGAGCCCAAACUACAAAAACUGUUUUGCAUACCUUUAGUGAAAUGGAGGUGGUGGAGGAAGGGUAUAAUCAAGAGGAGUAUGAUGUUUUCCAUCUUUCACAUUCGUAAGCAUCUUUGGGUCUUCAAUACUGCUUUGCCUACCUUUAGUGAUAUCAAAUUUUGUCACCUAUGGUUUGUCUAGAAUUGUUUGUGGAAAAAGUGCUACUAUUUUGAUAUAGGUUGUUAAUGGAGUUUGGGUUCAAAAAAAUAGAAAGAAAGAACACAAAGAGGCUUCAUUGAUUGUGUGAAAAACACAAAGAUUGGGUGAUUCAAAUGAGAAGAAAAAUACAAAUAUUUCUAAAAUUAGGGCCAAUGAACGAAAGCUCAAGACUAUUGAUUGGGUUAAAAGAAAGAAGUAAAGAAUGGAAAAUGAGCAGUUGGAAGAAAAAAUAUUUCUAUUUCAUUUUAAUCCAUUUGUUUUUUUAGUAUAUUCCAUUGACUGCUUACAAUGGUCUUGUGUUCACUUUGCUG
rnacentral:lncRNA from 1 species